GUCCCAUUAGGCUCAGUUGCUAGAGCAUGGCACCUGCAACGCCAGGGUUGUGGGUUCGAUUCCCACAGGGGACG
rfam:Salmo salar isolate Sally breed double haploid chromosome ssa10, whole genome shotgun sequence.